GCCCGAGUGAUGGAACGGCAGACAUAGCUGACUCAAAAUCAGCCGCCGCGAGGCGUGGCGGUUCGAAUCCGCCUUCGGGCACCA
rnacentral:tRNA from 1 species